UUUUUUUUUUGGUCAAAAAUAAAACUUCAUUAAUGUUCGGGAAUAUUACAACCCUUCAAAAACAAAGAAGAUAUAAAACAAAAUAAAGAGGCCCAAGUAAUAGGAGAGCAACAAUCCAAAGCACAAAGAAAGCCCCAUACUUAGGCCCAGAGAAAGUAAAGAUAACAAAGCAUAACAAAGAAAACCCUAAAACCAAAGUGAGCAGCAAACCGCCAGUAGCCACCAAGGUCACGGCCAGGGAGGAAAAAAACCCAAUCAAGAAGUUGAAGAAAGCAACGCAGCACCACAACAACGCCAAAAUAGAAAAAGCACAUGAACCAAAGAGUAGAUUUGAAAGUGUUGUGCCAAAUCAAGACACCUGCCACACCAUCCAUAACUAUAAUUGCAAGGGAGGUCAAAACAAGUAGCAGGAGGAAGGAAAAGACAAAGGCAAUGUGUAAAACACCCUUGUUACAACGUGAGUCAUACCACACAGCCAAAUUUUGCCGGCAUGCCAGUUCGGCAGCAGGUAAGGGGGAUGGGUCAAGUGGCAAGACCGGAUCCAACACUCCAAAAUCUAAAAAUUGGUUAUAGGAGGGGAAAUAUGAGGGAUAGCAAGGGGGAUGAGAAAAUAUAAGGUGGGGGUAUGCUGAGGAAGGGGAACGGCGUUGGUGGGUAAGGAAAAGAAAAUUGAAAAUAGAAAUUCGAGAGAAGAUGAAAGAGAUGAGGAAAAUGAGGGAGACCUCAAACUAGAGGAACGAAAGCGGCGAUGAUCACCAAAAAGGCAUGCCAAGGACCAAAAAACCGGCAGAGCCGAUUUGAAGCAGUGGGAGCUAAAAAAGGGUAGGGGAGAGGAAGAAAAAAGGGAAGGAAAACGAGAAAGACGGUUGUGGAAGGUGUAUGAGGGCAUGGAAGAGGCUAGGAGGAGGAAAUGAGAGGGUGCCUCCAACCCAAGCCUUAGCAAAGGGCCAGCAUCGCCAUUGAAGCUAGGGUUUGGUGCUCUUUCAAUUAAAAUAUCUCUUGAAUCAAACACAUAAAGUGCAAUUGAAGCUAAAAAUUAUUCUUUGAAUGGAAUGCGUGAUAACCGACAUAAUGAUGUGAUUUUAUUUUUAUUCUGAAGUCACACUCUAAAAGGUAGGAUCAAUUCACAAUGGGGCUAAGAAAUGCUAAAGGUAUUUCAGCCUAUUUCUGGCCACAGUUAAAUAACACACGUCCUCUCAAGAUUUUCAACCAGAGAAUCACUUAUGUUUUGUCAACUUUGUGUCUCAAACCCAAAACCAGAGAACUCCAACAAAUUGCGCCGUGUAGGCGUUGGGCAUUAUUCAUGGAGUGACUACAUCAAUUGACCAUGUUGGGCUACUUUGCUUAUUGGGCCGUAUUGAGUUUAAUGCGGUUAUUAGCUUUAGCAUGCCGAUACGUGAGUCCAAUUGAAAAGGCUACUUUGCUUUUUUACGCCGUGUAGACUCUGGAUGCAAGUAGAUGAUUUCUAUUGAACUUUAGUGUGUCAAUGUGUCAUAUAGCGACUAACAAAUCAUGCGUUAAACAAAACAUGAGAUACCAAUAAAAGUUUAUGAAGCAUUUUUCAUUUAAUUUUCUGUAAAACAAAGGAUUUAGGGCUUAACGUCUCCGCCAUGGAAAUUCAAGUGAUUGGCCCAACCAAGAGGAUCGAUUCUACAACUGUGUUCCAUUGUUCCAGUACACAACAUUGUGAUUGGUGAAUUAUGUGCACUUCACAUCACAUGGCAGCGUAGAGAAGGUUAUAUCAUGUACAAUGCGCGCAUGUUAGCGUAGGCAAUGCCUCGAACAUACACAGCGUAAACACAUUUAUGAACCAUUGCGUAAACACAUUUAGGAAUUUACAUUUUCACCCUCAAACCCCCACACAAGGAACAUAGGGAAAAGUUGGAAUACAACAAAAUUAGAGAAAAAUGGAAAAAAUUAAAAACGCAAUCAAACCCAUUUAAAAUCUCCCUCCUAUACCAAACCUUUGCUUCUUCAAACCUUUAUGAGAAUAAAAGCCAACGCUAAUUAACGAAUUAGACCUUCGUAACCCAAGCUUGAACCUGAAAAAAUAUCAAUCCCAUUUACAGAUGACUGCUCCCACAUGUCAGCGAGCCAAGUCCUCGCUCCCAAUGCCUACACUAGACUUGUCUACCAUCCGCACAUUGUAUUGUUCAUAUACUCUUGCUCGGUUCUCUGCCCACCACUGUUCUGCUUGUUUCUCACUAAAUCGUUUCC
rnacentral:lncRNA from 1 species